UACGAAGGGGGCUAGCGUUGUUCGGAAUUACUGGGCGUAAAGCGUGCGCAGGCGGUUUUCCAAGUCAGUGGUGAAAGCCCGGAGCUCAACUCCGGAACUGCCAUUGAAACUGUGAGACUCGAGUACGAGAGAGGUGAGUGGAAUUCCCAGUGUAGAGGUGAAAUUCGUAGAUAUUGGGAAGAACACCGGUGGCGAAGGCGGCUCACUGGCUCGUAACUGACGCUCAUGCACGACAGCGUGGGGAUCAAACAGG
rnacentral:rRNA from 1 species